UACGUAGGGCGCAAGCGUUAUCCGGAAUUAUUGGGCGUAAAGAGCUCGUAGGCGGUUUGUCGCGUCUGCCGUGAAAAGUCCGGGGGCUCAACUCCGGAUCUGCGGUGGGUACGGGCAGACUAGAGUGAUGUAGGGGAGACUGGAAUUCCUGGUGUAGCGGUGAAAUGCGCAGAUAUCAGGAGGAACACCGAUGGCGAAGGCAGGUCUCUGGGCAUUAACUGACGCUGAGGAGCGAAAGCAUGGGGAGCGAACAGG
rnacentral:rRNA from 1 species